UGCCCUCCUAGAGAACUGCCCCCCCCCCCCAAAUUUCUGUAGCAUACUGCCUUUCCCCUCGCCUUUGCCUCUAACUCUGCACACGCAGGAACCAGCUCCUCGCAGGUUUCGCAACCCCAGACUGAGGUCGUGGUGCUGGUGUUGCAUGGCUUACGCCUCCCAAUUUUACGGGAUGGAGUGGUUCCCUGGCGUGUGCUCACGUGAGGUGACAACCGCCGAGGUUGCUUACGGCGACGGGGGAGUAGGAUGUGUUGUGUUAUUCUUCCCUUUCUUUUUCUAUGUUCUCUCUUCUCAUUUCGACAGUGGUGGCGGAGGUAGGCUCUAGUGUGUGCGGAUUCACUCCCCAGAAGUGUCUGCCGAAAAGUGCCUUCGGCGAUGUAGAGUGAGAACGUAGUGUCAACUGUUUUGAGAUUUUCGUAGGUUAUUGUGUCUGUGCCGCUGUGUAAUGCGCAUGAGGUGAAGUAUAUCCACUAGUUGCGCGUGAGUUGUUUCGGAGUUGAGCCUCAUCGAUUCGUUAUGGAAAGUGGCGUCAAAUUGGGACCGAUGAUCCAGCUACACUGAAGACACCUGAUAGAACUGCGAAAUUUCUGGAUCAUAAAUUUGCUCAAUGCUCUCUGGAGCUUCUGUGUUACCACGUUGGAGAGAGUGUUGAUUUGGACUCCCUGAUAGGGCUUAGGCAUCUUUCAGCCCUUGCUUCGGGUUUUCGUCCUUAUUGGCCUCCCUCAUUGGGCCUCAGAAGCUUCACAGAACAUUGACUUGAUUUGUGACCCUGUGAUGAGGAAGAGAGUGUACCGGUUUACGGACAUCAGUCUCAACGCUAAUAGCCCGAUGUUAUGCUAGUCACUCUGAGUAUUUCCACAGCUAAGAAGACCGGAUUACGCGGUAUCCUGUUGUGGCUGAGUUGCCAAUUUUUGGUAUCUUCUUGGUUUGGUGAUGAGACCAGUCUCAGUUUCCAAGUAUAAUGAGUUCUUGAGUUUAUGUGCAUUCGAACAGGUCUUUCAUCUCUUCUGGGAGUUCCAGGGUGCCGACUUCCUCACCGGUUUUCUUUAGAUCUUUCUACUACGAACCACGUUACAACUCUAAUUCUCUCCUUGUGAUCAUCUUUGCGCUCGUAGUCAUUCGACGUAAAUGCCACGGGAGGUGUUCAAUCUGACGAUGAAAUUAGAAUCAUGUUAAACGUGAUCUUCUGUGUGGCAUUGCUGUCCCGGUUUCUAUACACACUAGCUUGACGUCUACUUCCUUUGAUUAUAUUUGAUGGCUGAAUCGCAGUGUACUGCAUCACUCCUACGCUCUGCCAUUGCAAGUGCGGGUACAAGUAUAUGAUCCUGCGGAUUUAGGAUUUUAUUGGACAUCGAAGGUGCGCGCUCCUACUGCAUCCCCUGUUUCUGUCACUUGAAGGUCCAAAUCUAAACUUGAAUUAAUUAUUGAUUCUCUCUUUUACACAAGUUUGACGAUGUGGCCAUCGCAAAUUUGCGGACGUCACGUGCUGUCAUGUAUCUAACAGAUGGUUGCAUCGUUUGCACGUACAUCCUGCGAACUCCAUGUCACAUCUUAACUCGUCAGCAAUUGUAGACUUAAGCUCGACUUCGGAUCGGCGACUGUCUGUUCUAGAGUAUGCCAGAUUGCUUGUGGGCUAAACAGCCACGAGAGUUCCAUUCUCGCAUGCCUGAAGUUUGUCACUCUAGAAUGGGACAUAUUUGUAUGGUGCUUUGGUUUGUGCGCAGCACUUUCUGCGUCAAUGUUUAGAAGUUGGCGAAGGAAGUAUGUGCGUCACUGGAUGUUUUGGAACCCUAAAUCACUUCAAUACCUUCUAUACUCUGGUGUGUGAUCUACUCAAUAGACAUCGUUAGCUCAUGCUUACAAGUGUUCUGCAAUUUGUGUUAUUGUUGAGCCCAUUCUUCGGGGUCCAGACGUAUCGCAGGUAGCGGGAUAUCAGACGCACAGUUCAGCUCUCAGACGUUAAGGACUGUAAUGUGCAGCGCCUUUCGAAUGUGCAUUCCACCACGAAGCCCAUCCUCAUAUCGUAAUAACUCUUAAUCUUUAAGAGAAUGCGGUCGAAACCAUCGGUCUUGUACCCCUUGCAUCUGUCCUCCGCAGGAACGGUUCAGUUGAUCGAGUCCUUGGUGCAGUGUCCCGAUUAUCACCAUCUUACUACACAUUUCCUUUCGGUUGAACAGAAGUUCUGAGAGUUUCCAGGACUUCAUCGCCGUUACAUGUACACGCUUGACAUACCCCGCGAGCGCUGAUUGUGUCCCCGCCCACAUAUCGUACACGAGUUGUGACUACCGCGUGGCCCAACUGAUAUCCUCCGCGUGCACCCCGGCUGUAAGGUGAAGGUCGCUGUCGUGCCUGUACUGGCGACCCUCCUCGGGGACAGUCUUUGUGAUCUGGUGCGUGACACACCGCAUACAUUCGGCACCUGAGGACCUCCCUUCUGCCACAGUUUAUUCCAGCCUCCACCGAUACGGAGAUUAGUUCAGUCUUCAGAGCAUUCCUCAUUAGAUCAAUCAGGUCAGGUCAGCUCCUGGAAACCUUAUCAAUCGCGUUUCAACCACCAGACUACCAUUGUUUCUCCUCUUUGCCCUGAUUAGCAACUCUGCCCAAAUAUACACACACAAUGUGGAUGAGGCAAACUUUUACCUCCUGGCACCGCGCAUCGCGUACUGACACUAUCAUGCAACUCUCGUGUCUCCGACUUCCUUCAUGUCUACCACGUUUCGAAACCAUUGAAGCUCCAGCGACAGAGAAGACAACCCAUCAUACUGAACGCGGCUGAGUAGCCGACAAGCCACGGAGUUCUCAAUCAUUUUACAAGACGCAUUCCGUUCUUUCUGUGACUCUGCAUCAGUGGUACAACAUCGUCGACGAUGAGUACUGAUCAGUCACAGAAGACAGGAGGUCAACUACACGAGCAUGAUUUCUGCACGAGGUCGGUGCCGUUGUUUGCACACCUCUGUGGCGAGCGGACAACUGCUGCAGUGGCGGCUCUCGGAAGUAGGGAACGGAUGGAAAGCUCGCAUCAAAGCGUAAGAAUAAUCCCAAGUGAUUAUACUCGUUCUGAUUAGUGAAAAUGAUCGCCCUGAUUACUGAGAAUGGUCGUCCUGAUUAGUUGGAUGCACUCAAUAAUGGGGGGGGGGGGGUGUUUGACGAGUGAUUUUGGUGGAAUUCGCUAGCAGAAAGUGGGAAAGUGGAUAAUAUACACUACUUUGCUGGUUUUGGUCAAAAAGUGGUUUGCAUAAAGUUUGCAAAAUGAUUGGAAAAAUCAAUAGCGAUUUUCCACUGAUGCCCAUUCCUUUCUUGUUGCUUCUCUUGCCCUGAUUCUAUUACACCACCGUUCGACGCUAGGGGUAGUUGGCACUUCCUACCCUUGUAUUUUGAAAUUUACAAGUAUCAGUUAUUUUCUCCGUUUA